rnacentral:rRNA from 1 species
CUUUAUUGGAGAGUUUGAUCCUGGCUCAGGACGAACGCUGGCGGCGUGCUUAACACAUGCAAGUCGAACGGAGAACUUAGCAAUAAGUUCUUAGUGGCGA